CGCGCUCGCUGUAAGAUGGCCGGGCGGGGCGCCGCCAUCCCUGCGCAGCUAGCGGGGAGCGCCCGCCCCACGGGCUCCCCCAUGGCGGCGGCCCCCGUGGGGGGGGAGGCGGGGGGUAGGGACGGGGCCCCGCGCCCCGUGCCCAGUGUCCAGAGAGAAGGUGGUACGUUGGACGAGGCGACGAGAAAAGAUCUUUUCACGGACACCUUCUGUAAAGUGUGCGGGGCUGUGCUGCAGUUUGAGUCGCAAAGAAUUUCACAUUACGAGGGCAAAAAGCAUGCUCAGAAAGUUCGCCUUUAUUUCCAAAUGCGCAGUGAACAAGAUGACGGACAAGAGCCUGGCAAACAGAAGAGACCAGAUCAUGUGAACUUUCAGGUGGAUGGGAGUGGAGUAGUGGACAAAAACAAAUAUUGCAAUCUUUGCAACAUGAUUUUUACUUCUCCAGUUGUUGCUCAGUCUCAUUACCUGGGAAAAAUACAUGCCAAAAAGCUGAAGCAAUUAUCAGGAGACCAACCUCAAGUGCCUGCACAGAACACUCAACCACAAACAGGUUCCCCCACUGGUCCUUCUACGUCUCUGGCACUACAGCAGCCCUCAGCUGAGAAGCUCUCCCAGGAGCUGAAUGUUGAAGAGUCCACGUCAUCCUCUAGCAUUGCUUUGGAUUUAAAUGAUCCAGACAAGUAUUGCAAGCUCUGCUCAGCUCCCUUCAAUAAUCCAUUGAUGGCCCAUCAACAUUAUGUUGGCAAGAAGCACAAAAGGAACGAAGCACGGAAGAAGAUGAUGGCGGAGAUGGGAGAGGAAGUUGUUCCUGCGGAAUCCAGUGCAAAUGCAGUUGGAGUUGGUAACUACAUAUGUCCUAUAUGUAACAUCACUCUUACGUCUAUAGAAAUGUACCAGUCCCAUAUGCAAGGAAAUAAACAUCAGAUUAAAGAAACCAUGGUUGUCAACCUCAUAAAGAAUUCAAAGAAAACAUAUGACUCCUUUCAAGAUGAAUUAGAAGAUUACAUUAAAGUGCAAAAAGCUAGAGGACUGGAACCAAAAACAUAUUUCAGAAAAGCAGAGGAGGAAGAGUUUGUAAACUAUGAGUUAGAAGUUGUAAAUGAUUCUGAUAAUAUUGUAUCUUCCAAUGUUACAUUUGAACAAGAACAGCAUUCCAUCCUCUUCUCAGAAACAUAUAUGUCAUCACAUGCUGUUGAAAACAGAUCUCUGUGCUGGUCACCAGCUCAUGAGAAUAGGCUAAGACUAGAAAACAUGGCUAAAUGUCAUGACAGCAAGGAAUAUUAUUCAGAAAUGCAAACAUCUCAGGUGACCUCUUUCAAAGAUGACAGCUAUGGCAUAUCAUCUGCAGAAUCCAGUGACUGCUACAAACACAUCUCUUCUGAUAAUAGCACCCACUCCUAUAGGAAAGGCCGAAAGCUUCGAAGGAAGCAUGAAGAGGGGGAAAGACACACUGGGGAAGGAGAAGAGACACACAACAAAGAAGCCACAAAGCAGAAGAGAAAGGAAAACAGUGAAGACACAGAUUCUGGAAAGGACAGAGAAAUGCAAAAGCGAAGAAAGAUUGAUCUAGAUUCAACUCACGAGAAAAAAUCAAAGCAUAGUAAAGACAAAAGAAUUAAAGAAAUACCCACUGAGAAAGAGAGUAGAAAGCACAAAAAGGAUAAAAGGAAACUACAGCCUGAUGGCAAAACAGAAGAAGAGAUACUUUGGGAUGAAUCUAUCCUGGGAUUCUAAUAGAGGUUUUGAUUAACUUUAUGAAGUCGGUAUUUUUUGUAGUCUCUCUUAACCAUGGUGUACUAUGUUAUGACUCAAUAGUUUUUGUCCCACUCUGUGGAAGCAAGAAAAAGCCUGACUUCUGAAAGUAUUGGGUAGUAGGUAUGAAUCAGCUUUUAAUAAUCUCAUACACACAACAGUCCUACAACAACAUGAAUUGAAAGCCUAUAAUCUGUUCUGGAAUGUACUUCAAAUAUGGAUUAGCAGAUGAAAGAAAACAAUCUCUCAUCCUAAGGAAAGAGAAGAGCUAUGGGCAGACCAGACACAUCAACCACACUCCUCUCUCUCUGCUGUCUCAGCCGUUCAUGUGGCGAAAGUGUUAUGUAGGCUAACACGUGCAAAGCUGUGCACACAGUGUGCAGCUUGGCUGUAAGCAGUGGGUGCUGGCACAGUAUCAGUGGGCCCACGAAAAUGAGCUUCCCACCACUUGCUGUGCUAUGCUAGCUGGCUUGUCUUGUCGCAUUCACCAUUGAAUAAUGCUGGUGCCUGCCUACGGAGGUAUACAGAGCAGAGAAACAACACAGGCGAGAGGCUAUCUCAGCAUCCCAGAUGAGUUGCCCAACUUUCUGCCUAAUUCUGCUGAGAACGUUAAUCCAGAUGAUCAAUUUGGUCCACGAAGCAACAACCCUUUUUCCAGCCCCUAGCUGAGACUCACUUCUUCAGUUGUGCCCUCAAGAAAUGAGCAAACAAUUAUAUCUACAUUACUCCUGGGGGAAUUCUGUGCCAAAAAAUCAAAAAUUCUGCAACAAAAAAUUAAAAAUUCUGUGCACAAUAUUUUAAAACUCUUCAAAAUUCUGCAUAUUUUAUUUGUCAAACUAGCACAAUAUAAUCACACCAGUUUCAAUUAUUUUUGGUCAUUUAUUUCAAAAUACCAGUCAGCAAGCAUGUCUGUAACAAUACAGACAACAAAAAAGAUUCAGGAAAUGUUUUUUGACAAAUGGAUUCCUAACUAGGCAUAUUAAUACAGAACUCUGAGUAAUAAUUCAUUUAAACUACAAUACAGAACUGUAUUUCCCGUACCUCCCAGAAACAGUGCAAAGGCUUUGGGGAGUCAGGGGUAACAGAGGAGCUGAGGGAGAGUGAAGUAAAUUGCUGGGAAGGAGCCUGGGUGUGAACUUGGAGGGUAUGGUUGGAUAUGGGUGGGAAAUAUAUGGAACCAUUUUUUUGGUGGCGCAUGAAGGGAUUUUUAGGGAGCUUCCCCCCUGCAGACCCUGGCUGACCCCUCGCCUCUGCCAUUCAGUCAGGCACUUCUGCCCCUGUCCCCAUGUGUUCCUGCACCCCAAUGUGUCCUUGUACCGCUCCGCCCUGUCCACGUGUGGCCCUGCACCCCUCCCCCAUCCCUUUGUGGCUCUGUACCUCAACCCCAUGUGUCUCUGUGCCCCCACCCGGCCACUCCCCUGUCCCUGUGUCCCUGUACUCCCUCCCCUGUCCCCAUGUGUCUGUGUCCCCACUCAGCCACCCCUUGUCCCUAUGUAGCUCAGCAGCCCCUCCCCCAUCACCAUGUGGCCUUGCACCUCUCUCCCCCCUGUGGCCCUGUGCCUCCACUCCCAUUCAGCCCCUGCCCCAGUCUGUCCUCCCCCACUAGCCUUAUGAGCCCCUGUCUGACGCUCCGCAGCACUGCACGCUGUCUGUCUCCCCAUAGCUCCUGUAUCUUGAUAUGGCUUGACAGGCGCUGCGAAGAAGGCAGGCUCUUUCUCUUCCCUAGCUGGCUGGGAGCUGCUGCUGUUCUUGUGCCACAUCGCUCUCUGGUGGACAAAAGGUGGAACUGCAGCAACAUUUAGGCAGAAGCUUUUAUCAUUAUUAUUUAUUUUAUAGAAUGCCUUAAAUGUGCACUGCUUUACAAAAUGUGUAAGGACAAAAGGUUCCUGGCUCAAGUUAUAAUCUAACCCAGACAAAUAUAAAAUGCUGGGCAGUUCAGGCCUAGAAAGGCAAAGAGACCUUGUCCUUGUGGGGGUGGAAGCAUAGGAAGGUCCUCACCAAAGCGAUGACUUUUGGGCAGUGGAAGAUUUGAAGGAGGAGAUUAAUUUGUUUUGGCAUGUGGGAUGCAGAAGGCUGGUUCAGGCAUAGGGGCCUGUUUAAAAAAAGGCAUAAAGUUAAGAAUGGGAGAAGUAGAUAAAAGGAUCCAUGAGGAGAGAGGAAAGAGAAGAGCCUAAGGAUCUAGAGAGGAUGAAAAAUGUGAGAGCUCUUGCAAAGCCUUGAAGUUUGAGGAUGAGAAAUUCAACAGGAAGUGAAAUCAGUCUAAAGGUUUCAAGGGGAACUGGAAGGCUGAGCUCAAAGUGAUGGCAGAGAAGAAACCAAGCAGCCACAUCAGCAAAAGAAUCCCCUAUUCAAAUGUUUUCUUGAUACUAAAAAUUAUCUUCAACGAUGUAGAAAAUUCAUUGAAAUUACUUGUUUAAAAUCAGUGGUGGUAGUGUUUCUGUUACUCACCUGCUGACUGACCUUGACCUAGGUUAGUUUAUCCUAGUGGAGGUUAAGACUAGAGAUGGCUGGAGGGUGGUAAUUCCAUUUUGUGGCAACUUUUAAGCAUUUAGAAUUUAUCUUUGUUCCCCAUUAGAACAAAACCAAAACUUUUCGGAAUGAUUUUGUGAAAACAGAAUUGUUUCAAAAUGUCCAUUUUCAAUUAAAACCCUGAGCUUUUUGAUCCUAGAAGGUGUGUGACACAUUCUGUAGCCUGGUGGGUAGGACCUGGGAUGAGGGAGACUACCAUUCAAGUCUCUGCUCUGAUUGACAGAAGAGAUUUUCAUCCCAGAUCUCUCUGAGUCAGGCAGGGAAGAGACUUGAACCCGGAUCUCCUACAUCCCAGUGACCUCACCACCGGGCUAUAGAGGUGCGAUAGAUAGAUAGAAAGAAAGAAUGAAUCUCUCAAAAUGUCAUUUAAAUUUCAUUUAGUCCAAAAUGUUCCAAUCAGCUCUAGUUAAGUGACUUGAUCAUGGUCUACAAGUACAUAUGUGGGGAAGAGAUUUGUGACUGUAAACACCUCGUUAAUCUAGCAGAAGAAGGCAUGACAAGAUCUAGUACUUGGAAGCUGAAGUAGACAAAUUUAGACUAAAAAUAAGACGCAAUUUUUUAAGAGUGAGGGUAGGUCACUAUUGGAACAACUUAUUUAGAGGUUUGAUGGAUCCUCCAUCACUUGAAGUCUUUAAAUCAAGCCUGGUUUUCUUUCGAAAAGAUAUGCUAUAGCUCAGACAUGCUAUGGGCUUGAUGCACAAACUACUGGGUGAGUUUGCUGGCCUGUUAUGCAGGCGGUCAGACUAGGUGAUCAUAACUGGUCAUUUCUGUCCCCUUGAAUUUUUCCAAUCUGUAAAACAGAUAUGGAUACGUACCUGCCUUUCUAAUGCACUUUUGAGAUCUACAGAUGACAAGUGCUGUAUAAGAGCCAAAUAUAACUACUAACAUUCAUUGUACAUUAAAGUGUUAAAAAGUUGCUUAACAAACAUUUGUCUGGUAUUCUGAAUAUUUUUAUUAUAAAGUAAUGCACACUGGAAAAAUUAAUCCCAAUUAUACAUACAAAAUGAUGGAUUCUAAAUUAGCUGUUACCACUCAAGAAAGAUCUUGGCGGCAUCAUGGAUAAUUCUCUGAAAACAUCUGCUCAGUGUGCAGCAGCCAUCAAAAAACCUAACAGAAUAUUAGGAACCAUUAGGAAAGGGAUAGGUAAUCAGACAAAAAAUAUCAUAAUGCCACCAUAUAAAUACAUGGUAGACUCAAAUCUUGAGUACUGCGUGCAGUUCUGGUCACCCCAUCUCAAAAAAGAUACAUUAGACUUGGCAAAGGUACAGAGAAGGGCAACAAAAAUGAGUAAGGGUAUGGAACAGCUUCCCUAUGAGGAGAGAUUAAAAAUACUGGCACCGUUGAUCUUGGAAAAGAGAUGAUCAAGGGGUGGGAUAUGAAGGAGGUCUAUUAAAUCAUGCCUGGUGUGGAGAAAGUGAAUGGGGAAGUGUUAUCUACCCCUUCACAUAACAAAAGAACCAGAGGUCACCCAUUGAAAUUAAUAGGCACCAGGUUUAAAACAAACAUAAGGAAGUACUUCUUCACACAACACAGUCAACCUGUGGAACUCGUUGCCAGGGGAUGUUGUGAAGGCCAAAAGUACAACUGGAUGCAGAAAAGAAUUAGAUAAGUUCCUGGAGGAUAGGUCCAUCAAUGGCUAUUAGCCAAGAUGGUCAGAAAUGCAACCCAAUGCUCUGGUUAUCCCUAAACCUCCGACUGCCAGAAGCUGGGGCUGGUGGACAGGGGAUGGAUCACUCGAUUAAAUUGCCCUGUUCUGUUCAUUCCCUCUGAAGCACAUGGCACUGGUCACUGUCAGAAGACAGGAUACUGGGGUAGAUGGACCAUUGCUCUGACCCAGUAUGGCUUAAGUUCUUACGAUUGUAUCUCCUUUGAGUCUCUGUCUCUUAAUUAACAAUUAGUUAAUCGGGCCCAGUCUUUCAAACACUUGAGAAAAUUUAGUUGUGUGCAGAAGUGUUUGCAGGAUUGGGCACCCUUUUUUCCUCAGCUAGACCACCAUUGUAAAUGAGGACUUGUUCUCCAGUGGAUUUUUCUGGGUUCAGUAAAGUUUUUAUUCCUGUUUUUAAACAAUAAUUGCAAUGCUGUGGUUUUCAAUAUGAUUGAUUUUUGCCUUGUUUAUUAAAUUAAAUCAGAUUUCAUGAACUUUAAUAAAUGUUAUGAUUAUAUUUAUAGAUGUUCUUAAUCUACAAAUAAACAUUUUAUUUUCUUUGGA